AAUUUUACAACUCCCAAUA
rnacentral:snRNA from 1 species